GGCCGCAGCUCCCCGGCGGAGGCAAGAGGUGGUUGGGGGGGACCAUGGCUGACGUUUUCCCGGGCAACGACUCCACGGCGUCUCAGGACGUGGCCAACCGCUUCGCCCGCAAAGGGGCGCUGAGGCAGAAGAACGUGCACGAGGUGAAGGACCACAAAUUCAUCGCGCGCUUCUUCAAGCAGCCCACCUUCUGCAGCCACUGCACCGACUUCAUCUGGGGGUUUGGGAAACAAGGCUUCCAGUGCCAAGUUGCCUAGCAAAGAGUGGCAGCUUGCCUCUGAAGGCCACCAAAAAGGACCAACAUGUUUGCAUGGAAAUGGCAACCAAAAAACCCCUAAUAUUAAGAACCUACCUUGAAAUCUGCCAAUUAUGAAUGGAAGCUUCAUCAGAUUUUCAAAUGGCUUUUAUAAAAUUAUAUAAUGGAGGUGAAAGUGAAAGGUCUACACUAUAACUCCUAUUACAUGAGCUAAAUGUGUAAGCCUUACCAUUUGAUGUGCUCUUCUAGGCUUAACAGUAGG
rnacentral:sRNA from 1 species